AGCUCGAUGGCCGAGAGGAUAGCGGCGUCAGUCUUCAAAACUGCCAGGACCCGAGGUUCGAAUCCCAUUCGAGUCA
rnacentral:tRNA from 1 species